GACAGAGGGUGCAAACGUUGUUCGGAAUUACUGGGCGUAAAGCGUGUGUAGGCGGCCACGUAAGUCGGAUGUGAAAGCCCCGGGCUCAACCCGGGAAGUGCACUCGAUACUGCGUGGCUUGAGUACUGGAGAGGUUGGUGGAAUUCUCGGUGUAGAGGUGAAAUUCGUAGAGAUCGGCAGGAACACCCAGGGGGAAACCAGUGGACUGGCACGGAGCUGACGCUCAGGUGCGAAAGCGUGGGGAGCGAACCGG
rnacentral:rRNA from 1 species